GAUGAACGCUGGCGGCGCGCCUAACACAUGCAAGUCGAACGAUUAAAGCACCUUCGGGCGUGUAUAAAGUGGCGAACGGCUGAGUAACACGUGGGCAACCUGCCCCUCUCAUUGGGAUAGCCACGGGAAACCGUGGAUAAUACCGAAUACUUCGAGACUUCCGCAUGGAAGACUCGAGAAAGCUCCGGCGGAGAGGGAUGGGCCCGCGGCCUGUUAGCUUGUUGGUGGGGUAACGGCCUACCAAGGCAAUGAUGGGUAGCUGGGUUGAGAGACCGACCAGCCAGAUUGGGACUGGGACACGGCCCAGACUCCUACGGGAGGCAGCAGUGGGGAAUCUUGCACAAUGGGCGAAAGCCUGAUGCAGCGACGCCGCGUGCGGGAUGAAGGCCUUCGGGUUGUAAACCGCUUUCAGCAGGGACGAGGCGAAAGUGACGGUACCUGCAGAAGAAGCCCCGGCUAACUACGUGCCAGCAGCCGCGGUAAUACGUAGGGGGCAAGCGUUAUCCGGAUUCAUUGGGCGUAAAGCGCUCGUAGGCGGUCUGUUAGGUCGGGAGUUAAAUCCGGGGGCUCAACCCCCGUUCGCUCCCGAUACCGGCAGACUUGAGUUUGGUAGGGGAAGGUGGAAUUCCUAGUGUAGCGGUGGAAUGCGCAGAUAUUAGGAAGAACACCAGUGGCGAAGGCGGCCUUCUGGGCCAUAACUGACGCUGAGGAGCGAAAGCUAGGGGAGCAAACAGG
rnacentral:rRNA from 1 species